rnacentral:ncRNA from 1 species
ACGAGCGGAGUGACGGGAGACUGUCACGCUCCGUUCUGUGGUAGCCCGGGGAUGAGAUUCCCCCAGGCCACCCGGCGUUUCGAUCCACUCAUCGUGUUGUUUGGCGCCACCAUUAGUUCCUCGCCGAACCCCU